CCUGUGCUCUCACCAAGAUCUGCCUGCACCCGCCUGGGGGAAGGAGAGGGGGCAGAGUCCACAGGGUGGGGUUGACUGGUGUCUUGAUAAGGUUAGGGAGGCAGCAGAGCUGAAGAAAUAGUUUCUGUGAGCCUGAAGCCAGGACUGAAGCUGAUUUGGGUGUUCCCCCAGGCACCAUGCCAGCCCGGUAGUACACCCACCUCUACCCGCUGUGGUCUGCUGCACCCCGCUGUUGGGGCAUUGGUUCCAAUGAGACAGGGCACACCAAACUCCAUCUGGCUGUUACUGAGGCGGAGACACAUGUGA
rnacentral:lncRNA from 1 species